rnacentral:rRNA from 1 species
AACGAACGCUGGCGGCAGGCUUAACACAUGCAAGUCGAACGCGAAAUCACCUUCGGGUGGUGGAAAGUGGCAGACGGGUGAGUAACGCGUGGGAAUCUACCUGAUGGUACGGAAUAACUCAGGGAAACUUGAGCUAAUACCGUAUGUGCCCGAGAGGGGAAAGAUUUAUCGCCAUCAGAUGAGCCCGCGUCGGAUUAGCUAGUUGGUGGGGUAAAAGCCCACCAAGGCGACGAUCCGUAGCUGGUCUGAGAGGAUGAUCAGCCACACUGGGACUGAGACACGGCCCAGACUCCUACGGGAGGCAGCAGUGGGGAAUAUUGGACAAUGGGCGCAAGCCUGAUCCAGCCAUGCCGCGUGAGUGAUGAAGGCCCUAGGGUUGUAAAGCUCUUUCGACGGGGACGAUAAUGACGGUACCCGUAGAAGAAGCCCCGGCUAACUUCGUG